UACAGAGGGGGCAAGCGUUGUUCGGAAUUACUGGGCGUAAAGGGCGCGUAGGCGGCCUUCUAAGUCGAACGUGAAAUCCCCGGGCUCAACCCGGGAACUGCGUCCGAUACUGGAAGGCUUGAAUCCGGGAGAGGGAUGCGGAAUUCCAGGUGUAGCGGUGAAAUGCGCAGAUAUCAGGAGGAACACCGGUGGCGAAGGCGGUUCUCUGGGCAUUACCUGACGCUGAGGAGCGAAAGUGUGGGGAGGCGAACAGG
rnacentral:rRNA from 1 species